rnacentral:rRNA from 1 species
GAUGAACGCUGGCGGCGUGCCUAAUACAUGCAAGUCGAGCGAACAGACGAGGAGCUUGCUCCUCUGACGUUAGCGGCGGACGGGUGAGUAACACGUGGAUAACCUACCUAUAAGACUGGGAUAACUUCGGGAAACCGGAGCUAAUACCGGAUAAUAUAUUGAACCGCAUGGUUCAAUAGUGAAAGACGGUUUUGCUGUCACUUAUAGAUGGAUCCGCGCCGCAUUAGCUAGUUGGUAAGGUAACGGCUUACCAAGGCAACGAUGCGUAGCCGACCUGAGAGGGUGAUCGGCCACACUGGAAGUGAGACACGGUCCAGACUCCUAAGGGAGGCAGCAGUAGGGAAUCUUCCGAAAUGGGCGAAAGCCUGACGGAGCAACGCCGCGUGAGUGAUGAAGGUCUUCGGAUCGUAAAACUCUGUUAUUAGGGAAGAACAAAUGUGUAAGUAACUAUGCACGUCUUGACGGUACCUAAUCAGAAAGCCACGGCUAACUACGUG